GAUGAACGCUGGCGGUAUGCUUAACACAUGCAAGUCGAACGGACUCUUCGGAGUUAGUGGCGGACGGGUGAGUAACGCGUGAGAAUCUGGCUUUGGGUUCGGGACAACCACUGGAAACGGUGGCUAAUACCGGAUGUGCCGAGAGGUAAAAGAGAAAUUGCCUGAAGAUGAGCUCACGUCUGAUUAGCUAGUUGGUGAGGUAAAGGCUCACCAAGGCAGCGAUCAGUAGCUGGUCUGAGAGGAUGACCAGCCACACUGGGACUGAGACACGGCCCAGACUCCUACGGGAGGCAGCAGUGGGGAAUUUUCCGCAAUGGGCGAAAGACUGACGGAGCAAUACCGCGUGAGGGAAGGAGGCUCUUGGGUUGUAAACCUCUUUUCUUAGGGAAGAACAAAAUGACGGUACCUAAGGAAUCAGCAUCGGCUAACUCCGUG
rnacentral:rRNA from 1 species